UACGUAGGGCGCAAGCGUUGUCCGGGAUUAUUGGGCGUAAAGAGCUCGUAGGCGGUUUGUCGCGUCGGAUGUGAAAGCCCGGGGCUUAACCCCGGGUCUGCAUUCGAUACGGGCAGACUGGAGUGUGGUAGGGGAGAUCGGAAUUCCUGGUGUAGCGGUGAAAUGCGCAGAUAUCAGGAGGAACACCGGUGGCGAAGGCGGAUCUCUGGGCCAUUACUGACGCUGAGGAGCGAAAGCGUGGGGAGCGAACAGG
rnacentral:rRNA from 1 species